rnacentral:rRNA from 1 species
AAAGUGGAGCAAUCCAUGAGUACAGUGGCGUACGGGUGAGUAACACGUGGAUCAUCUACCUCUUUGUGGGGAAUAACCCUGGGAAACCGGGGAUAAUACCGCAUAAGCCUGAGAAGGGAAAGCAGCAAUGCGCUGAGAGAGGAGUCCGCGGCCGAUUAGCUAGUUGGCAGGGUAAAAGCCUACCAAGGCAGAGAUCGGUAGCCGGCCUGAGAGGGCACACGGCCACACUGGCACUGAAACACGGGCCAGACUCCUACGGGAGGCAGCAGUGGGGAAUCUUGCACAAUGGGGGAAACCCUGAUGCAGCGACGCCGCGUGAGCGAUGAAGCCCUUCGGGGUGUAAAGCUCUUUCGGCAGGGAAGAUUAUGACGGUACCUGCAGAAGCAGCUGCGGCUAACUACGUGCCAGCAGCCGCGGUAAUACGUAGGCAGCAAGCGUUGUUCGGAGUUACUGGGCGUAAAGGGGGUGUAGGCGGUUGUUUAAAUUUGGUGUGAAAUCUCCCGGCUCAACUGGGAGGGUGCGCCGAAUACUGAAUGACUUCGAGUGCGGGAGAGGAUAGUGGAAUUCCUGGUGUAGCGGUGAAAUGCGUAGAUAUCAGGAGGAACACCGGUGGUGUAGACGGCUAUCUGGACCGUAACUGACGCUGAGACACGAAAGCGUGGGUAGCAAACAGGAUUAGAUACCCUGGUAGUCCACGCCCUAAACGAUGCAUAUUUGGUGUGGGUCAUUCAGUUGAUCCGUGCCGGAGCUAACGCGUUAAAUAUGCCGCCUGGGGAGUACAGUCGCAAGGCUGAAACUCAAAGGAAUUGAC